rnacentral:lncRNA from 1 species
GUUGUCGUACAGUGAGUACAGGCAUUUCUUUCUUUUUUUUUUAAUUUCCUUCAAGGAACAGCUGUUUUUACUACUAGCUCUGACCUUCCUCCUAUUUUGAGAAUAGAAGCUGCAUCAUUUGUAACGUAGAGCUUCAGCCUCCGUUCCGUAUCUGUCAAAACUUACCCUACCUUUUUUCUUGUUUUCAAGUAGCAACGCUUCUUUUGAACAAUUAAAAACUUUAAAGCCGUAGUCGCCUCCACGCUGAAUUUAAGAAUAGGUAGAGAACUGUAUUCACUUCAAAAGCUGUCACAGUUCCACAGAGGUGACACACAACAAUCACUGCUACAGUAGGUAAGUAAAGAUUUUUACAGAGAAUUUGCAGAUGAAGUGAUUUCUAAAUUGUUGUGUAGCUUGUAUUAGUGCAUCGGCAGGGUCAAGACGAAGGAAACUAACUCAAUAAAUCUUUCAAGUGUAUUUAAUGUUAAUUGUGUUGUUCCUUGGUGGGGAGGAAGUGGAGGAGGAUAAGAACUUGCAGGUAAGAUAGUUUCUUGGCUUGGCUACUUGGAAACCUCCCAAGAAUAAUAAUAAGAGAGAAAGAAAAAGGCUAGACUCUGAAUCCAGUCUUCCUUUUAGGCGUGGUAAAUGUUUUAAAUACAUCUCCUGCACGUGAGCUCUCAUUUCCAUCCCUCCCUCCCCAAGCUCUACAUAUCCUGGACUGAUGCAGAUUAGCGAGUUCAUAAAAAUGCAUCACAGACCCAUUUAAACUAUAUGAUUAACUGCUAAUAUAUGGUAUUAACUUGUAGGAUUUUUAUGGAGAUUAGCAUGUAUAAUUAUAUUUGAUGGUAUAUGAUAAUUACCUGUUUGUUUGCAUUUUAAAGUAUGAUGACUUGAGAACAUUCAUCAAUCCAUAUAUGGCUUCGAGUCUGAUAUAAAAUUGCAACUCAUUUUAAUUGUUUUUUUUUAAGUAAUCAAACUGACAUCUCUCAUAAUGUAAAGCCUAAAGGGGACUGACUAAUUUUAUGGAGAUGAUGCUAAUAAUACAGUGAUUGGAGGACUAAGUAAUUGAAAAGUACUCUUUAGAAAAUGGGCUGUUCUGAUCAAUAUUUUCCAAAUGGGCUAAUUAAGUGUGAAUGUAAUAUUGCCAUAUUUCCAAUAAAACAUACAAAAAUUCAACUUGGAUUCUGGCUUUUCAGGAUCCCAAAUAUAGACACUUCCAUGGAAAUGGUUUUAGAAUUCAGGAGGGAAGUGCUUUUGCAGCAGAGUGCUUAGCAGUGACAGCAGAGAACUUCCACUUGCUCACUCAGCAGGAGAAUCCUCACAACUUUCUUUACAUUAUCCACUCAGUACCCUGCUUUUUCUUUACUCCUGUGUCCUCUCAGACGCUAGUUUUACCUCUUUCCUGCAGAGUGACGGAUUCAAUCAUAGACACAGGAUUCCUGAUACCAUCUGACAACAGCUCUAUUUCCAUUCUACUCAUGGGUCCUGUUUGUUGACAUUUAAACUGACCUUGGGACUUGUUCCUUGUUCUUUGCUUACCCUGCCUCUCUGGGUGAGUCACCUUAUGAAAAAGUCCUACAUGAUAAUGCAUAGGCAAUAUACAACUUAACCUAGAGUUCAGGUUCCCUUCAACUGAAGUGUUGACUCAUAUUGACCACAUAAACUGGGUAAGAUCAAAUCCACUAAGGAAUUGCACACUGAAUCCAACCUUCAAGAUAUUUCAGCAUUUAGAUGACCUCCUCCUCAUUGCUUAUUCAAGCAAAGAAAAUCAGCAAAUAAAUUCUGAAAACACCAUGAGGAAGGAGUCAUGCUAUGGUCAAGGUCUCUGGAGGGAAGAUGGAGCUCCUACCAUAAAAUCUAUCUAUGAACCAACUCAGAAAAAAAAAUGGCUACUCAGCUGCUGGGGCUGGUAAGGUGGGGAAAAAUAGGGAAAGGUAGAAAAAGGCAACAUAGAAACAUUUAUAGGACAUAGACAGUGGGCAGAGGAACUCUCAGUGGAAAGACAUUGUCCCUGUACCUGCAAUUGCUUUUCUUCAAUUUUGGUGACUUUAUCUGUUUUAUAUUGGCUGAAAGAAAAGUUGGGGAUUGGUGGCUCUUACAGAAAAUGCUUCAGUUUUCUGUCACUCUAGUAUUAUUUUGAAGUUGAAUAAUAAAACAAUGAUGUCAGUGUGGAUUUGUUUUUGAAAAUUCACAGGUUAGACCACAACUAAAUGAAGUAUUUUCAGUUUGCACACACACUUUUGCUAAACUGAAGUGAAAUAGACUUAAUAGUAUGAAGGGGACUUUUUUGGGGAAAAAAUAAAAUGUAAUACUCAAUUUUCUAAUUAUUAACACACUCUUUCUUGCAAAAUUUUAGAAUGUUAAUAAAAUCAUUAAAUUGAAGGCUAGCUUUAGCUGACUAAAGUGCCUAAUUUGGAGGGUACAUUGGCUUUGUGGAUAUAAUGAAACUUCAAGUUGUGGGUUAAUUUCCUAGUGAACCCUCCUGAGAGUUAAGAGACUUAAUCUUUUCUACUCACUGAAUGAAUCCAUAAGCCAAGGAAACGGGUGGAAAUUUCUGAAAGGGAGGUAUAAUCAAAGAUGAAUGAGAUAUCCUCCACUUGGAACCCUUAAGGAAAUAUGUGAUCUUGUCAUGAAGUAAAAUGAAAAAAAAAUAAAAAUAAAAAGAUGAUAACUCAUGUCAAAGACAAGAUCAUUUAACAUUUAGGUACGUGUUCAGUCAAACAAUGUAGAAUACACCAGUUACUUAUUGAAUCAACAGAAUACAGGAAGCUGCAGAGAGUUGACACACUAAACAGAUUAUUAUCUAUGCCCUCAGACAGGUUGCAGUCUAGUGAGAAAACUGGAGAAGUAAUUUAAUUACAUGAAUCCGAUAUCAUCAACUCCAUCCAGACACGUGGAUGUUAGAGCCUGGGUCCACUGAGACUCACAGUAUUCAGGGAAGGCGUUGUGGGAUAAUAAGGAUGGCUUGAUUUGGCACCCAGGGAGUCAAGAAAAGGAAGCACACAAAGAAAAGGAGGUCAGCUUCCCGACAUACAUCCAUAUUUGAUCAACUGAGUGAAAUCACAAUCAGAAUGACAAUACGAGGAAGCAAGCAACAUGGGGAGAGGGAGACCUAGAGAGGAAGGAAGAGACAAAGGUGAGGUCAAGCGGCUCCACAUCAUGGUGGGUGUGGAAUACUCACAAGAAUUCAAAUUGAGAGCAGUUAGGUACUGCCAUGCCACUGAAACUCAGAGUUCAGAUUAAAAAGCAAAGCUUUCUUUUACCUUUUUCAUAGGUUAGUAGAUUAUAUAAAUGAAGACAGAUUAGAAUAGAUAUUUCAAUAAUAUGUAUGAGAUAUCUUCUAAAAUUCAUAAAUUAUAAGUUAGAAAGACACACUUGAAGUCAAACAGUGAGUGUGAGCAAGACCUAAAAUGGAGAGGCAAGCACAUUAGGACACCACCCUGAGACACUUGAACACUGUGAUCCUGACCUCAGGCUUCCACUAGACUAGCAACAAUACUCAUUUCCCCACCCCAAGAAGAAGAGCCUGUUAAGACAAGCUUCACACUGAAAUCAGAACUCUCAGAAUAAAGACCAACUGUGGAUUUUGUUCCCCCAAAACCAAAGGUGUCUAAGGGACUUUGGUUCUGAGCCAGGAAAAAAAAAAUAUGUUUCCUGAGAACUUCAAGCUACAGAAUGUUCCUCUUUAGGACCUGCAGACUGACUGAGUGUGCUUCUUGGUAGCUCCAGAAAGCACAAGGUUGGUCAUUUGGUAGAAGCUGUGCUGGGCUAGGAGAGAACUCAGGCACUUGGCAGAAAUGUCACUUCUCCAGGCACUCAAGGGAUGCCUAUAUGUAAAGUUAGAAAGGUCUCUUAAUCAUACAAGGAAAUAAGCUCUAGAAAUACAAACAGGUGCAGGCAAGGAAAAAAAACAAGAAACCACAGAAACUGAUCAGCAAAGAUUUUUUUGAUAUGCAAAUAGAUACAGAAUGAAAAUAGGCAUAUUUACUAUGUUUAAUUAAUAGAGACACAUAAGGUCUUAAAAAUAGCCAAGCCGAUUUUUUAAAGCCUAAAUUGAACUUCUAGAUAUAAACCAAUGCUAAUUGAAAUUAAAAAUGCAACGAAGAGGUUUAUCAUCAUAUUUGAACUGAAUUGAGGAGAGACUAGUAAACUAGAAGAUGGAUCAGAAGAAAUUACCCACAAUGUCAUAAAAAUAGAGAAACAUAGGAGAACAUCAUGUACCUUACAUUCGAGAAAAGAUUGCUUUCAAAACAAAACAGUAUCAAACAAAAUCACUUGAAAAGGCAAAAUGUUAAUAUAUUUGUUCCUCAAAGUGAAGAGCACUGUGAAGAAACUUAGUGGGCACCAAGAAAAGAAUAUAUUUCUAUUGACCAAACCAAUUAAUAUAAAGAGUCUAAUGCUUGAAAGGUAUUUCUUUAAAUGAACACACACACACACACAAAAUAGCAAGAUAGGAAGAUUAUACCUAAUUUUAUAAAUAAACAAAUGAGUAAAAGGUGUAAAGAGGCUCUUUCUGGAAAUGAAAACCGAUAGAAAAGGAAGAGAUAUUCACAGCUUCAGUGUACAGGGCUAUGCUAAUUAAAAUAAUAUGAUGUCUAUUCUUCCAACAGACUGGCUAAACUUAAAGACCUGAGCAAUGUCACACGUCAGGGAUGUGGGGGAGGUGGAAGUCCCAUUCACUAUUGAUGGCAUUGUAAAUGGUGGCAGUUAGAUCAGAUAACCAGCUGGCACUCUCAGGUCACCCUAAGUAUGUGCCAACUCUGCCUAAGUAUGUGCAGUUCCCCUCCUGAAUAUUUAUCCUAUAGGGUACUGGACCAGAGUCCAUAAGGAAAACAUAUACAUGAAUGUCAUUUGCAACAUAAUCUAUAUGUAAGGAGUUGAAGGUGCUCACCCAUUUCUAAGAGAGUAGGUAGGUGAGAUGAGGGGCAACACCUUGUAGAGUAUUAUUCCAACCAAAACCAAAAGAUCAUCUGUACACAGAACUGUAUAGACAAGUCUUUAAAAACACAGUACCUAGUGAAGAAAAAUAAUAAAAAACAGAACAGAGGUAUAAUAUAUAAUACCAUUCACUUAAAUAAAAAAUGCAUUUGCAUAAAGAUAUAUAUUACGUGAAAGCAAAUACUAGCAACAUUACGUGCAUUAAACACAUUAGAAUAUCUUCUCCAGAAGAAAAAGAAAAAAUCAAAGGAGAAGUUUUAAAAAACGGAAGCAAUGAAGAGAAAAGAUAAAAGAAAGAAAAAAUGAAUAAAGAAAGAUGUUAAAAGAUAUAGAGAGAUAAAUUAAUAACUGAGGAAAAGUAGAGAGCUGAGAAAUAAUUGCACUUAUAUAUAAAUAUAAAUAUGUAAGUGGAGAACUGAGGAAAAUAUGAAACAUGAGGAAAAUAUGAAAUAACAAUAGAGCUUGUUUUGUAGGUUGAUAAAAAAAAGGACUAGGUUUUCAGUAACUGAAAUUAGAAUACUAUAUCAUACUCCCAAAGACAAAUAUUAAAGAUGAAUUUAAAAUUUUUAUAAAAUAAUAUACAAAUAGCUUUAUGCUUUCAGAAUAGGAAAGGAUUUCUUUAAUAGCACAUAAAAAUCAUGAAUCAGAAAGAGGACAAAUGAAACUAAAAUCCAUUAUGCUAAAAUAAUUUAGGUCACAAUACAUUUUAAAACAAGGUUGAUUAAGAUGUCAUAAAGACAUUGGAACUAUAAGUACAAAGAAAGAGAUGGUUAUUUUCAAUUCACAAAAUAUCAUCUGUGUUACCCCUGGAGUACCUACAAGUGAGCAAGAGAAAUUCAAGUAAUCCAGUAAAAUAUUGGUCAAAAGCAAUAAAGAGGAAUUUCAUAGAAGAGGAAAUGCAAAUCACCAAAUAAUUUAUGAAAAAAUUCUUACCAUCAGUAGCAACUAGAGAAAGGAAAAUUAAAAUAGAAUUGAGAUUCAAGUUCUAACCCAAUGGAUUUAUCAACAUAAAAAAAAUUGAAUAUAUGUAGUACUGGUGAAGAUACGUAGUAAUUGAAACAUUUUUCUGAAACCAGUAAAAAUGUAAAUUUUCAAAAAUCAGUACUAUUUAGCAAUAAUAAAAUUGUGCAUUUUCUGUGAUCUAACAGAUCUAACUUUUUACCUCAUUGGUCAGGAAAUAUAUGUUUAGACAUAUGCAUAUCCAUAAGCAACAUUCAUAAUAACAAUAGAGGUGGAGAUAACCCACAUACCCAUCACCACAGAUAUUUUAGCACUAUCUUUAAUAGGGUAUUGGUCAGCAGUCCAAAGAAGUAAAGUGAAAAGACAUACAAUAAUAAGGAGGACUCUCACUGAGAAUUCUAUUUUCUAAAAUUUCAAAAUAUUCAGAACUAAAUAAUAUACUAAAAAUAUGUGUUCAAAUUUGGAUAAAAUCAAGGGAAUUGUGAUUUGCAUGCAAUGACUGCACUGAGGCAGGGCAGGUUAGAGGAGAGGUUUGCAGAUUUGCCAACAGUAAUGUAUGUGUACAUGUGCAAGUAUGCAGGAAUGUUCUUAGAUUAAAGUACUUAGGUAUUUCUUGUACCACUCUUAUUACUUCUCAACAUAUAUAUCUUGGAAGUUACCCAUUACAUUAAAAAACAAUGUUUUUUUCUAAAAGAUUUGUGAGCAAGGAAAUGUCCUGGGAAAUUUGUUGUUGAAGAAAUAGCAUGGAAUCUGAGAUUAACCAGAAAAGGGUCAUUCAUGAAGGUCAUAUGUAUGAUUCCAUUAUAUCAAAUACUAGAACAGAUAAAUCCACAUAGAUGAAAAGCAGGUUGGUAGUUACCAGGGACUGAUGGGAAAGGGAAACAGGAAAUGACUGCUUAAUUUAUGCAAAUGUUUUAGAAGUUGAUAGAAUGUGAUACACUGUGGAUUGACUAAAUACAAUCACUAGUAUACUUUGAAAUGCUUAAUUUUAUGAUAUGUGAAUCUCACCUCAAAUUUAAAAAAAAUUAAAAAAAUAAUAUAGGCCAGGUUUAAUUUAAUUUUGUUUACUUAAUAACUUACUUACUUCGCUCUGAAUACUUUUUCUUAUUUACUCAACAAGUUGCAAGAAUAAACUCUUGCUGCAAGAAUAUCAUUGGGUAUGCACAGUCCUCAUAUGUGGUAGAGGGUUACUAAAUGGUAGCUGACCUUAUUUCAUUGUCAACAUGGGUAAAGCUGCAUGUAUAGGCAUAGUUUGUCAUUUGGAAUAUCUAAGUUGUUAAAUCUUUGAACAAUUAAUAUGCAAAUUUUCUAAGUUCUCACAAACUACAACAUCAGUUACAAACAAACAAUCUGACUGCCCACUACAAGUAUGAAUGCCACUCUUUUCCCAGAAAAAUAAAAUGAGUUUAAUUGCAAAAGUAUCUAGAUCAAAUGAUGUGAUUUACAUAUUUUUUUCAAGAAUUAAGUAAAAGGAACUAUUUUUUCCUAAUCAUAGGAAAAAAUACCCCGAAGAAAAGAAAAAAUAUAGCCAAUAACUGAGAAUUUAGUGUAAAAGAAUUUCUAUACAGUUAUAAUUCAAAAUUUAUAAUUGUAUGGAUCAAGGAAUAAGCUCUUGGCAUACUAUUGAUCUAUGAUGCAUAGAAGUUGAGGAGGUGACAAUUGAUGUCAUAAUAAAGAAUUCAGCUGUAUUUUCAUUAUUCAUAAGCUAAAGCUCUUCUCAAGUUUAUGAAAUCUGUGAAAUAUAAAAGGUAAAGUAAAAAGCAUCAUUUUCUUAUAGUUCUUUGCUCAGCAACUGCUCAAAAACUUCAAAAUAAAGACAUUACUUCUAGGAAAGCUUUUCAAAAAAUCUAAAGUUGAAGAAUAUACUUAAUAAGCCAUUUAUUUUAUUUUGGUCUUUUCACACAUAAUGGUAUAGUCUGACUUAACCAAAUUCUGACUUAACCAAAUUCUGAAAAAAUCUUGCUUGUAGGGUUUGAUUGCAGAUGAUUUUAACAGAAAAAGCAAAUAGGUAAAAAUGAUGAUACUUCACUUUAUAUGUGAUACAUGUUUGACUCCUAAAAAAUAUUUCCAUUUUUCUUUAGAAACAUAAAAUCACGUGGUUUAUGGUUUGACAUAUGAAGAACCUGGAAGUCAUUACAAUCAUCCUCAGAACAACAACAACAACAAAAUUUUAAUAAUCUGAAAAUCAACCUCAGAAAGUGAGGAGAAGGGUGAUCUGUAGGAAUCAAUCCUUAGUGUAGACAGAAGCCCAGGAAAGGCUGCCCACCCACUGAAGUCAGCACUGCUAAGACAUGUGGUUUAGCAUUUGUCAUUAAUUUUGGGAGAUUCUCAGUCACCAUUACUUCAAAUGAGCAAGUAAGAUUCAUAUUGGGUAUGCAAGUCUGGUUCAACAGCCAACUGUGAGCCAUGUAUUCCAGCACAUCAGCAGCGGAGGGAAGAACAGAAAUUCUAUGCAGAAAUACCACACUCUUUCGUGAUUUAAAAACAAAACAACCUCAGUCAAGGAGGAAUAGAUUGGGAGCUCCUCAGCCUUACAUAAAACACCUCCAGGUAAGGUGUAAUUAAGGUUAAGUGAGGUCCUAAGUGUGGGCCCUCAUAGAAUCUGAACAACAUCUUUAUAAGAAGAGGAGGAAAGACCAAGGAUGUACACAAAGAAAAGUCCAGAUGAGGACACAAAGAAGACAGCUCUUUAUAAGCCAAGGGAGAGGACUUAGGAGAAACUAUGGCAGCCCACACCUUGAUCCUGGACUUGCAUCCUCCUGAACUGCAGAAGGUGAAUCUCCAUUAGGUCCCCAGUCUGUGGUACUUUUUUUAUAACAGCCCCAGUGAACUGGUGCAGUGCCAGAACUUACAUGAAAGAGUUGUUCAGCUCUUAUCUUUUCCUCAAUAUUAUACAAUUCCAAUGAGAUUGUUGCCAUAUUAUAGCAUCCACAGGAGUGCCUGAGACCUCACAAGUCUGAGAGGAGUGGUUGGUCCACAAUUUGAUCCAGGGCAUUUGGGUUUGAGUUAGUUUUGAUUACAUACAAAAAAAAACUUUCUUGUAAAUAUUUUUCUACUCAGAUAACAUGAAACCACUGUACAGCAUGAAUGUAAUGUGGAAUACUUAUGGUAUACAAAAUAAAAGCUGUUCGCUAGUAAUUUGCUUUCAUCUUCUGCAAGUGCAAGUGCGUAACGUAUAGCAAGGUAUCUGAUAAGUUGUAGUAAAACUUGGUCAUGAUGGACAUCAUCAUAGAGUUGGGAAUGGCUAUAUUUCACCUUAAUUGUCCUUAUUGGUUAGUAUUUCUACAUGGGUGUCUAUUCCAAAUAAAUUAUUUUGCUUUAAAAAUG